UUUAAUAGAAGAGGUAAUAUGCAUGCAUACUUCGACCUUUGUUUGUCAUUUGCUCUGUUUGUAUCCUUGUUGUGGUCCAAUGGGCAUUGAGAUAAGACUGAUGGGCUGCAAAGAAGGACGUCCUUACCCAGGUCGACAAGCGCUCACUUCAUAUGAUAAAGAAGAUCUUCGGCUGCGAGGUCACACAUGAAGGUCGACGAUUCCUCGUCGUGGAUGGUGGAGAAGAAAGAUCUUGCUCGCUGGAGGAGCCUAUAUUCCAAGGGAAACAGCUAGAGAGCUGAGCUAAUGGCUAUAAAAGCUGGACUGGGGUGUGCUAUUAGCCUGGAUAUCUCAAGAUUGGUAGUGGAAUCUAAUGCUAAGAAGCUGAUAAAAUUUUGAAAAGAUCCCCUGGGCUCCUUUUAAACUGUUUUAUGUAUAAUUGAAGUCUAUCUGAUGAAUUUCCUGAAUACAAAUUCAUUCAUGUA